CUAUUCUAAAUGCUGUUCUUAAUCACUAGGUUAAUGCCUGUGGCCACUGAAUAGAACAACAUGCACCUCACAGCUGCACCAAAAAGCUGGCUAACCUGGUCAAAUGCUCAAGCAGAUGAAGGGAACGCUGAGUAGAUGUUUUCAGAGAAAUAUUCAUCAGAACCCAAAGAUCUCUUUUGUGAGUACAGAAUCAGCUUAUAGUCCACCAUUGUAUAUGUAAUUUUUUUCCCCAUGUGCACAACUUUCCAUUUAACUAUGUCACAUUUUAUCUGUCGUUUUCUUAUCCAGGCACUCAGUCUUGUAAAGUCUUUCUAUAGCUCUUCAGUUCUUCACAGCCAUUUUAACUUCAUCACAAUUUGUCCUCUAACUUUCCUUUACCUGAAUAGCUUAAUAUCAUUAGCAAUCUGUGAUACCUCACUGCUCGCUCUCUUUUUCCAGAUCAUUUAUGAAUACAUUAAGCAGCACAAGUCACAGCACAGGUCCCUGCAGACUCCUCUUGUGAUCUUCCUCUUCUAUGAAAACCAACCUUUAUUUCUGUUUUAAUUCUGCUUCCUGUCUUCUAGCCAUUUUUUGAUCCAUUCCCUUUUCUUCUUAUUGCAUAAAGGC
ensembl:lncRNA